GGUUGAUGGUUAGGGUAGUCCUUAAGAAGAGAUUUGAACCUCUCCCAUGCAUGAUAUAAGUUCUUAUAUGGAUUUUGCUUAAAACUUAAAAUUUCAUUGUUUAACCU